AAACGUGUUCUGGUGUAUUGCCAUUUCUUUAAACCAAUCACAAUCAUCAAGGGCGGCCCUAAGCUCCACAUGGAGCCGCUGCAAAAUAGCAUCGCGAAGGAAC